AUUGAACGCUGGCGGCAGGCUUAACACAUGCAAGUCGAACGAGGGGCGGACGGGUGAGUGAUGGUGGGGAAUCUAGCUUAUGGAGGGGGAUAACUACGGGAAACUGUAGAUACAACCGCGUACCGAAGGAUCAGCCCAAGCUGGAUUAGGGAUUGGGUGAGGUAAAGGCGCACCAAGACGACGAUCUACAGCUGGUCUGAGAGGGUGACCAGCCACACUGGGACUGAGACACGGCCCAGACUCCUACGGGAGGCAGCAGUGGGGAAUAUUGCGCAAUGGGGGCAACCUGACGCAGCCAUGCCGCGUGAAUGAAGAAGGCCUUCGGGUUGUAAAGUUCUUUCGUUAGCGAGGCGUUAACUACAGAAGAAGCCCCGGCUAACUCCGUGCCAGCAGCCGCGGUAAUAC
rnacentral:rRNA from 1 species